UACGUAGGGUGCAAGCGUUAAUCGGAAUUACUGGGCGUAAAGCGUGCGCAGGCGGUUCGCUAAGACAGAUGUGAAAUCCCCGGGCUUAACCUGGGAACUGCAUUUGUGACUGGCGGGCUAGAGUAUGGCAGAGGGGGGUAGAAUUCCACGUGUAGCAGUGAAAUGCGUAGAGAUGUGGAGGAAUACCGAUGGCGAAGGCAGCCCCCUGGGCUGAGAUUGACGCUCAGGCGCGAAAGCGUGGGGAGCAAACAGG
rnacentral:rRNA from 1 species